rfam:Fukomys damarensis contig87288, whole genome shotgun sequence.
GAGCACACACUUCAGCAGCACAUAUACUAAAAUUGGAAUAAUACAGAGAAGAUUAGCAUGGUCCUUGGGCAGGAUCGCAUGCAAACUAAAAAUAGAAAUUCCU